UGCAGUUGUAUUUGUACAUAAGAAGCGUUACAUAAUGAAAUACAUUUUACAGUUUAUUGUGAGAUUGAUGUAAUUUCCUGCGACAGUUUCCUUGAUUACUCUGCAUAAAUUGGAGGAUUAAAAAAUAUAUAAAUGCAACUGCAGAGACUUAUAUAACUAUACCACACGUUCACGCUUCAUAUCAAUGUUUAAAAAAAAAAACGGUAUUGAUAAUUCACAAAUUAUCCACACCAGCAACCCGGUGAAGGAAUUAAUCGUUAACCAAACAUCGUUAAAAACGAAGUGCAAUCGAAUGAAGGAAUUUGAAUGUUUGAAAAAUAUUUCUGUCCCCAUACGCCAAGGAUGACAUGCGCACGUCCCACUCACCAACACUACGUGGUGUGCGUUUUGGAAGUUUUCAGCUGUGGACGUUGUAGUGAGUGGGUGGGGAACAAACCAAGUAUAAUAGUUAGUUACAUAGUUUAACGUUAAAACCACAGAUAUCUACACUGUACUCAAAAUUGUUAGGAGUAGGUUGUAUAGUAUAUUACAUAUUAAUAUAACGUGCACCGUACACGCAGGAUACGUUCAGUAUUUGACAAACUGCAGCUAAAAUAAAUCUAUUUAUAUCUAUUCUAGUAUCUAACUUCAAUAAAGGUAAAACAAUUGACAUCUAUAAUAAUAAUAUUUUUAUUAUAAAUACAUUGUAUCGUACAGUUUAUGCAAUAAUAUAUUAUAUACCUAUAUAUAAAUUA